AGGACUAUGUUAUUAUACUUCUCUUCUUAAUGUAGCCCAACGUCUGUGACAAGCCAGAAGAGAUUACCUAUAGUUACGCGUACUAAGGUAAUAGAAUACAGAGUCAAGA
rnacentral:ribozyme from 1 species